AGAUGGAGUUUUUUUAUUUAUAAUAGCUCAGCGUUGUGUCAGAGAAAGGAGAGAUGCCAAAACCCCAGCCAAAACACUGGAGCCAAGCACCCAUAGAUAUGGGAAAGUUGCCUUCUGGAUCCAAGCGCUGGAGGGCUCUGGGAGGCCCACCUACCUCAGGAACAGAUGUCACAGGAGGCUACAGAAAACAACAGCCAGCUCUGCUGGGGACCACACCGAGUCACCAGCACUUCACAGACACCUCAACACAAGUCAGCCUGAAAGGAGCCAACAAUGAGCAACACAGGCAAUGAACAAAUGGAGAAGAACUCUGGAAUCAUACACAGCUCUUCUUCAGAAAUAUAAACUACCCAAAGCCUGAACACAGUAAUAACACAGAAAUGUCUGCUCUGACAAAAACUGAGAAAUUCCAAGCAGCACAUGGUCCACCACCACAGCAAGAGGGAAAAUGGUUUCAUAGCUGUUUUGGAAGAAGAGGAUCUCUAGGCAGAUGGCAUUUGGCCAGGGAGCCUGCUCCCAGGAGGCUGAACUCAGAGCACUGUCCUCAGUGCUUUUCCCUGAACUGGGCAGAAGACAGGCACGAACAACUCUCCCCACAUGUGUGAGAAGUCAACACCUUUCCUUAGCACUCAUCCUCCCAAUGCCCAGAGCUGCUCCUGAGCUGGCAGCAAGCACAGAUCAAGAUAUUUAAAAAACAGGAACAUAAAUCCGAAGUUCCCUGCUAAAAGCUGCAGUGGUCUGAUCAGCACAGAGGCUGAACCUCUAAUCUCACAGAUGAAAGGGACUAUCUCUGCUGCACAGAGCUCUGCUGACUCCCAUCCAGCAUACUCAGGGUAUGCAGAGCUCAGCUUUUUGUGCUCUUCUUCAACAGUGCACCAUGAGAGAAAAUACCCUCAUUUGCUCCCAGCCCAUACCUUAUGUAAUAUUUAA
rnacentral:lncRNA from 1 species